rnacentral:ribozyme from 1 species
UAUUGGAUUGCAUCAGCAAAUCUUUUGAUGACAAAAUAUCAAAUGAAAUAUUCUCAUUGAAUUUUUUCCUAGACAAACCAAAACGUCUUUGGAUUAAAGACACUGAAGGUAUUCGAGAUAUUUUAGCUAACAUCUCAA